GAGACCUGUCCUCAUCUGUGCAGAAAUGAGUGGCCGACUCUGGAACCCAGGCUGUUGCUUACCACCUUGGUGGUGAAACCUCCAUACUCUAGUCCUGAAGGGGCGAGGCCUUAAGCAUUAUCCAAUCAGGGACACUGGGCUGGAAACCGUCCAAUCAGACACCCAGCUGGAGCGAACAGGUCGACUUCCGAGUUUGGCGGGGCCUUUGUCUCUCACUGCACCUGGAGCUCCAGGUCUCAUCUUCACUACUCUGUGUCCUCUGCUGCUGGAGGCCCAGCCCUGUGACCUGACGGUUUUGGGAGAUCCACAGCUAAGACGCCAGGACCUCCUGGAAGCCUAGAAAUGAGUUUUCGCUCUGUUGCCAGACUGGAGUGAGGUCCUACAGUUGUGCAGCCGCGCGAUCUGGGCUCACUGCAACCUCCACCUCCCGGGUUCAAGCAAUUAUCCUGCCUCAGCCUCCUGAGUAGCUGGAACUACAGUCAUGUGCCACCAUGCCCAGCUAGAGAGGUUUCACCAUGUUGGCCAGGAUGGCCUGGAUCUCUUGACCUCGUGAUCCGCCCGCCUCUGCGUUCCAAAGUGCUGGGAUUACAGGUGUGAGCCACCGUGUCUGGCGCCUCUUUUUCUUUUAUUUUUCCAGAGAACUUACCGGAAUGUUUUUGGGUCAAGAUUACCCUUUGGAAACUUUGUAGGAUGAUGUGUCCUCAGCCAACCUUCAGUUUUUUUCUGGUCCUGGGUUUUAGUACUUUCUGGGAAUAAACCAACAUACCCACUAUGGCUAUGUCUGCUAGAGUGUCUAGUGACUAUUAUCUCUUGGGUCAUUUUCUCCCAUAGGACCACCUGAAGCAUGGAGUGUAGACUUUCAAGGGAGCAGGUGGCAGCCUUGGGGCUGAAAGGCAUCUUCUGGUGCACUUUUUUUUUUUUGAAAAGCUAACCCCUUGAGACAUGAAGAUUGUCUUCACUCAACCUGGCUUUCAUUUCUAGGAGACACAUUGCUGGUCAGUCAAUCAGAUGCUGGUAUUGAGGGGAAAACAAAUAAUUUCUGUCUUCUGGAUUAUCUUGUGGGAGGGGCAGAAAAAUAGUGAAAAAACACUCCAAAAGACAAAAAACUGACCCCAGUGAGAUGGCAUAAAUAACUUACAAAGUAAAAUGCACCUGGGGCACUCACUGGGGCAUAGUGCAGUGUCUCCUGGGAGGGUGGUUAUUGCGCAUGUAAGUGAACAGGAUGGGGUGGGUGAUUGGAUCUGUACCUUGAAAAGAUUUGUUUACUUAUUUUGACCUCAGUUUUUUUUUAGACAGUCUCCCUCUGUUGCAUAGGCUGGAAUGCAGUGGCUUGAUCUCAGCUCACUGCAACCUCUACCUCCUGGGUUCAAGUGAUUCUCCUGCCUCAGCCUCCCGUGCAGCUGGGAUUACAAGCAUGCAACACCAAGCCUGGGUAGGUUUUUGUAUUUUUAGUAGAGAUGGGGUCUCACCAUGUUGGCCAGCUUGAUCUUGACCUCAGGUGAUCCACCUGCCUCACUCUUCCAAAGUACUGGGAUUACAGGCAUGAGCCAUAAACACUGUAUUCUACAAUCCUAUGAAUAUUAAGCCACAAUACUUACUUUGAAUUAAUCGCUUAAAUGGUUAUUUUAUUUAUACUUUUGAAAUAUAAAGUGUUUUAACUGAAGUAUAGUUGCAAUUUUUUUUCUUUUUCUUUUUUUUUUUUUUUGAGACGGAGUCUUGCUUUUUCAGCCAGGCUGGAGUGCAGUGGCUUGAUCUUGGCUCACAGCAACCUCUGCCUCCUGGCUUCAAGCGAUUCUUCUGCUUCAGCCUCCCGGGUAGCUGGGAUGAGAGGCGCGCUGCACCACGCCAAGGUAAUUUUUUUUGUAUUUUUAGUAGAGACGGGGUUUCACCAUAUUUGCCAGGCUGGUGUUGAACUCCUGACCUGGUGAUCCACAUGCUUCGGCCUAACAGAGUGCUGGGACUACAGGUGUGAGACACUGCACCUAACUGUAGUGGCAAUUUUUUUUUUUUUGAAACAGAGUUUCGCUCU
rnacentral:lncRNA from 1 species